GAGUCGGUAGUGCAACGGGUUAGAGCACGCGCUCCUGAAUAGAGUGAGAUGUGGGUUUGAGUACCGCCUGAUGCG